GUCCACGCUGUAAACGAUGAUCACUGGAUGUGGAUUCUGUUUAACAGGAUCUGUGUCGAAGCUAACGCGUUAAGUGAUCCGCCUGGGAAGUACGGUCGCAAGAUUAAAACUCAAAGGAAUUGACGGGGGUCCGCACAAGCGGUGGAACAUGUGGUUUAAUUCGACACUACGCGAGGAACCUUACCUAGGCUUGACAUGUAACUGACUGCUGUCGAAAUACGGCUUUCCGGGUUUACUCGGACAGUUACACAGGUGCUGCAUGGCUGUCGU
rnacentral:rRNA from 1 species